UAAUGAGUAGUCUAAUAAAGACGAUGGAUUGUGGUUCUAUAAAUAGGGUAAACCUUUCAUUAG
rnacentral:tRNA from 1 species